rnacentral:miRNA from 1 species
CUUUGAGCACAUGAGCAGACGGA